GUGGGGAAUCUUCCACAAUGGACGAAAGUCUGAUGGAGCAACGCCGCGUGAGUGAAGAAGGGUUUCGGCUCGUAAAGCUCUGUUGUCGGGGACGAAUGUGCAGUAUUUGAAUAAAGUAGUGCAAUGACGGUACCUGACGAGGAAGCCACGGCUAACUACGUGCCAGCAGCCGCGGUAAUACGUAGGUGGCAAGCGUUGUCCGGAAUUAUUGGGCGUAAAGGGAGCGCAGGCGGGAAGGUAAGUCGGUCUUAAAAGUGCGGGGCUCAACCCCGUGAUGGGAUCGAAACUAUCUUUCUUGAGUGCAGGAGAGGAGAGUGGAAUUCCUAGUGUAGCGGUGAAAUGCGUAGAUAUUAGGAGGAACACCAGUGGCGAAGGCGACUUUCUGGACUGUAACUGACGCUGAGGCUCGAAAGCCAGGGGAGCGAACGGGAUUAGAUACCCUAGUAGUCC
rnacentral:rRNA from 1 species